rnacentral:rRNA from 1 species
UGGGGAAUCUUGCGCAAUGGGCGAAAGCCUGACGCAGCGACGCCGCGUGCGGGAUGACGGCCUUCGGGUUGUAAACCGCUUUCAGCAGGGACGAGGCCGCAAGGUGACGGUACCUGCAGAAGAAGCCCCGGCUAACUACGUGCCAGCAGCCGCGGUAAUACGUAGGGGGCGAGCGUUAUCCGGAUUCAUUGGGCGUAAAGCGCGCGUAGGCGGCCAGUUAGGUCGGGAGUCAAAUUUCGGGGCUCAACCCCGUCUCGCUCCCGAUACCGGCUGGCUUGAGUGUGGUAGGGGAAGGCGGAAUUC